ncrna:length=769
GGGUGCGAUCAUACCAGCGUUAAUGCACCGGAUCCCAUCAGAACUCCGCAGUUAAGCGCGCUUGGGCUAGAGUAGUACUGGGAUGGGUGACCUC